rnacentral:rRNA from 1 species
UACGUAGGGGGCAAGCGUUGUCCGGAAUCAUUGGGCGUAAAGCGCGUGUAGGCGGCUCGACAAGUCCGCUGUGAAAGUCCAGGGCUCAACCCUGGGAUGCCGGUGGAUACUGUCGAGCUUGAGUCCGGAAGAGGCGGAGUGGAAUUCCCGGUGUAGCGGUGGAAUGCGUAGAGAUCGGGAAGAACAUCAGUGGCGAAGGCGGCCUGCUGGGCUGUUGCUGACGCUGAGGCGCGACAGCGUGGGGAGCAAACGAGG